GAAACGUAAUACGCCGCGUAGACUUCGGUCACGACGGUAUGGCGAGCUUUCGCCGUCCACGUUUCUCUUUCUUCAAGAAGACAAAAAACCGUAUCGACCGGUUCCCCGAAUGGGCCCGUAGCUCAGUUGGUUAGAGCACACGCUUGAUAAGCGUGGGGUCGGAAGUUCAAGUCUUCCCGGGCCCACCAUUUACUUGAUGUGAAUGAUGGUUUGGGAUGAUGGAAUGGCAGUUGAUGCGGAUUGUUGCCGAACCCGGGAUGUGUCCUGGGCGAUCGAGCUGAUGGGGCUGUAGCUCAGCUGGGAGAGCACCUGCUUUGCAAGCAGGGGGUCAGCGGUUCGAUCCCGCUCAGCUCCACCAAAUCGAUUGGUGUUGAGACUGACGGCAUUUGUCUUUUGAAGAAAUACAAGUUUUGCAUCGGCUUUGAGCCUGAUGCCUGUUCUGCAUAUAUCGUGAAGAGAAGAUUGAUCUGGAGGCUUCCAGGUGUUUUGGGUUCUGCCCAAAGCGUCCGAGCCCAGUUCCUGUGAACCCAUGGAUGGCCUAGCCGGCCGGAUGUGGUGGAGGGAUUGGAGGUAGGAAGGAAGCUUGUCGCUCUGGAUCGUCAGCGUAAACCGCGUAGCGGUUUAUCGCGUGUUGUUCGUUGCCUUUGGGCAUCGUCUGACGGACGAUCGGAUUACCGUUGCCUGACCGCGCGGUAUCGGAUCCAAUCUCGAGAAGCUGGUCUUAAGACAGGCUGCAAGUGGGCUGCUCGGCGUAGCUCCAAUAAAGCAGACCUGUCGAACACGUUAAUGGCAU
rnacentral:tRNA from 1 species